rnacentral:rRNA from 1 species
AACGAACGCUGGCGGCAUGCCUAACACAUGCAAGUCGAACGAGACCUUCGGGUCUAGUGGCGCACGGGUGCGUAACGCGUGGGAACCUGCCCUUAGGUUCGGAAUAACUCCCCGAAAGGGGUGCUAAUACCGGAUAAUGUCUUCGGACCAAAGAUUUAUCGCCUUUGGAUGGGCCCGCGUUGGAUUAGCUAGUUGGUAGGGUAAAAGCCUACCAAGGCGACGAUCCAUAGCUGGUCUGAGAGGAUGAUCAGCCACACUGGGACUGAGACACGGCCCAGACUCUGAGGGGAGGCAGCAGGGGGAAAUAUUGAAAAAUGGGCGAAAGCCUGAUCCAUCAAUGCCGCGUGAGUGAUGAAGGCUUGAGGGUUAAAAAGCUUUUUUACCCGGGAUGAAAAUGACAGUCCGGGAAGAAAAAGCUCCGGCUAACCCCGUG